GAUGAACGCUGGCGGCGUGCCUAAUACAUGCAAGUCGAGCGAACGGACGAGAAGCUUGCUUCUCUGAUGUUAGCGGCGGACGGGUGAGUAACACGUGGAUAACCUACCUAUAAGACUGGGAUAACUUCGGGAAACCGUAGCUAAUACCGUAUAAUAUUUUGAACCGCAUGGUUCAAAAGUGAAAGACGGUCUUGCUGUCACUUAUAGAUGGAUCCGCGCUGCAUUAGCUAGUUGGUAAGGUAACGGCUUAUCAAGGCAACGAUGCAUAGGCGAGCGGAGAGAGGGAUAGGCCACACUGGAAGUGAGCCACGGUCCAGACUCCUACGGGAGGCAGCAGUAGGGAAUCUUACGCAAUGGGCGAGAGCCUGACGGAGCAACGGCGAGUGAGUGACGAAGGUGUUCGGAUCGUAAAACUCUGUUAUUAGGGAAGAACAUAUGUCUAAGUAACUGUGCAGAUCUUGACGGUAACUAAUCAAAAAGCCACGGCUAACUACGUG
rnacentral:rRNA from 1 species